rnacentral:rRNA from 1 species
UACGUAGGGUGCAAGCGUUGUCCGGAAUUAUUGGGCGUAAAGAGCUUGUAGGCGGUUUGUCGCGUCUGCUGUGAAAUUUCGGGGCUCAACCCCGAACUUGCAGUGGGUACGGGCAGACUAGAGUGUGGUAGGGGAGACUGGAAUUCCUGGUGUAGCGGUGAAAUGCGCAGAUAUCAGGAGGAACACCGAUGGCGAAGGCAGGUCUCUGGGCCAUAACUGACGCUGAGGUGCGAAAGCGUGGGGAGCAAACAGG